GAACGCUGGCGGCAGGCCUAACACAUGCAAGUCGAGCGGUAACAGAGAGUAGCUUGCUACUUUGCUGACGAGCGGCGGACGGGUGAGUAAUGCUUGAGAACAUGCCNUGAGGUGGGGGACAACAGUUGGAAACGACUGCUAAUACCGCAUAAUGUCUACGGACCAAAGGGGGCUUCGGCUCUCGCCUUUAGAUUGGCCCAAGUGGGAUUAGCUAGUUGGUGAGGUAAUGGCUCACCAAGGCGACGAUCCGUANCUGGUUUGAGAGGAUGAUCAGCCA
rnacentral:rRNA from 1 species